AGUCUCGUUAACUCGCAAUUAAGAGGUUGCAGUUAAGGUGUCAUUAUUCAGAUUCUUCUGGAUUUUGCAGAGCGGUUCUCCCUCUGUUUGACGCCUCCCUGUUAACUUCGAGAGCCGUGGUUCACGGCUCUUUUUCU
rnacentral:sRNA from 1 species